GUAGGUGGCAAGCGUUGUCCGGAAUUGUUGGGCGUAAAGCGCGCGCAGGCGGUUCUUUAAGUCUGAUGUGAAAGCCCACGGCUCAACCGUGGAGGGUCAUUGGAAACUGGAGAACUUGAGUACAGAAGAGGAAAGCGGAAUUCCACGUGUAGCGGUGAAAUGCGUAGAGAUGUGGAGGAACACCAGUGGCGAAGGCGGCUUUCUGGUCUGUAACUGACGCUGAGGCGCGAAAGCGUGGGGAGCAAACAGGAUUAGAUACCCUGGUAGUCCACGCCGUAAACGAUGAGUGCUAAGUGUUAGGGGGGUUUUCCGCCCCCCUUAGUGCUGCAGCUAACGCAUUAAGCACUCCGCCUGGGAGUACGGCCGCAAGGCUG
rnacentral:rRNA from 1 species